GAUGAACGCUGGCGGCGUGCCUAAUACAUGCAAGUCGAGCGAACAGACGAGGAGCUUGCUCCUUUGACGUUAGCGGCGGACGGGUGAGUAACACGUGGGUAACCUACCUAUAAGACUGGGAUAACUUCGGGAAACCGGAGCUAAUACCGGAUAAUAUUUCGAACCGCAUGGUUCGAUAGUGAAAGAUGGCUUUGCUAUCACUUAUAGAUGGACCUGCGCCGUAUUAGCUAGUUGGUAGGGUAACGGCUUACCAAGGCAACGAUACGUAGCCGACCUGAGAGGGUGAUCGGCCACACUGGAACUGAGACACGGUCCAGACUCCUACGGGAGGCAGCAGUAGGGAAUCUUCCGCAAUGGGCGAAAGCCUGACGGAGCAACGCCGCGUGAGUGAUGAAGGUCUUCGGAUCGUAAAACUCUGUUAUUAGGGAAGAACAAACGUGUAAGUAACUGUGCACGUCUUGACGGUACCUAAUCAGAAAGCCACGGCUAACUACGUG
rnacentral:rRNA from 1 species